ACGCUCGACACCUACGGGGGGCAGCAGUGGGGAAUAUUGCACAAUGGGGGAAACCCUGAUGCAGCGACGCCGCGUGGAGGAAGAAGGUCUUCGGAUUGUAAACUCCUGUUGUUGGGGAAAAAGAGGAUGGUACCCAACAAGGAAGUGACGGCUAACUACGUACCAGCAGCCGCGGUAAUCUGAGCGGGCUGGCAAGGC
rnacentral:rRNA from 1 species